rnacentral:rRNA from 1 species
AAUGAACGUUGGCGGCGUGGAUUAGGCAUGCAAGUCGAGCGAGAACCCGCAAGGGGGACGAGCGGCAAACGGGGUAGUAAUGUGUCGGAACGUGCCCUCUGGACGGGGAUAGCGGCGGGAAACUGCCGGUAAUACCCGAUGAACUCGAGAGAGCAAAGGUGUGAUUCCGCCGGAGGAGCGGCCGACAUGGUAUUAGCUAGUUGGCGGGGUAACGGCCCACCAAGGCUGUGAUGCCUAGGGGAUGUGAGAGCAUGAUCCCCACCAUUGGGACUGAGACACUGCCCAGACACCUACGGGUGGCUGCAGUCGAGAAUCUUCGUCAAUGGGCGAAAGCCUGAACGAGCGACGCCGCGUGCGGGAUGAAGGCCCUUGGGUUGUAAACCGCUGUCGAGGGGAGUGAAGGCUUGAAGGUACUCCUUCAAGUUUGACAGAGCCCUGGAGGAAGCACGGGCUAAGUUCGUGCCAGCAGCCGCGGUAAGGUGACGUCU